UUACGACCUUUUUAGUUUUACCUUAAAAAAAUUUCCAGCCAGGCUGCGGUAAUCGAUUACCAAUACGUGGUAAUCAAUUACCUACCCAAAAAAAUCACAAAACAAAUUUAAUUUUUAAGCUGAUAAUCUAUUAUCAUUAAGUGGUAUUCGAUUACCACAUAAUCUAUGACAAAAAUACUCAGUUUUGGGCAUGUAAUGCCUUUCAAAAUCUCAUCCAAACAUGCCCUAACAUACCCAAACAACUUAUUUUGAAUUUCUAACCCAGUAAACUAC
rnacentral:lncRNA from 1 species